UUCCCCCUGCCCUCUGCAUGUGACCCCGAUCCCUCAUCCUGGUCUCCACGCCGCCCCUCCCGCACACCUGCCUUCGGAUGGCCCCGGCAGGAUCAUGGCGGGGCACUGGGGCCCGAGGAGUUCAAGGCCUGCCUCAUCAGCCUGGGCUACGACGUGGAGAACGACCGGCAGGGUGAGGCCGAGUUCAACCGCAUCAUGAGCCUGGUCGACCCCAACCAUAGCGGCCUUGUGACCUUCCAAGCCUUCAUCGACUUCAUGUCGCGGGAGACCACCGACACGGACACGGCCGACCAGGUCAUCGCUUCCUUCAAGGUCCUGGCAGGGGACAAGAACUUCAUCACAGCUGAGGAGCUGCGGAGAGAGCUGCCCCCCGACCAGGCUGAGUACUGCAUCGCCCGCAUGGCGCCAUACCAGGGCCCUGAUGCCGUGCCCGGCGCCCUCGACUACAAGUCCUUCUCCACGGCCUUGUAUGGCGAGAGCGACCUGUGAGGCCCCAGAGAGACCCGACCCAACACCCCCCAUGGCCUCCAGGAGGGGCCUGGGCAGCCCCACAGUCCCGUUCCUCCACUCUGUAUCUAUGCAAAGCACUCUCUGCAGUCCUCCGGGGUGGGUGGGUGGGCAGGGAGGGGCUGGGGCAGGCUCUCUCCUCUCUCUCUUUGUGGGUUGGCCAGGAGGUUCCCCCGACCAGGUUGGGGAGACUUGGGGCCAGCGCUUCUGGUCUGGUAAAUAUGUAUGAUGUGUUGUGCUUUUUUAACCAAGGAGGGGCCAGUGGAUUCCCACAGCACAACCGGUCCCUUCCAUGCCCUGGGGAUGCCUCACCACACCCAGGUCUCUUCCUUUGCUCCGAGGUCCCUUCAAGGCCUCCCCAAUCCAGGCCAAA
rnacentral:sRNA from 1 species